rnacentral:rRNA from 1 species
GAUGAACGCUGGCGGCGUGCCUAACACAUGCAAGUCGAACGGCAGCGAGGGGUGCUUGCACCCUGUCGGCGAGCGGCGGACGGCUGAGUAACGCGUGGGAACGUGCCCCAAAGUGAGGAAUAACUGCCCGAAAGGGUAGCUAAUACCGCAUAUUAUCUUCGGAUCAAAGGAUUUAUCCGCUUUGGGAGCGGCUCGCGUCGGAUUAGGUAGUUGGUGAGGUAAUGGCUCACCAAGCCGACGAUCCGUAGCUGGUCUGAGAGGAUGACCAGCCAGACUGGAACUGAGACACGGUCCAGACUCCUACGGGAGGCAGCAGUGAGGAAUCUUCCACAAUGGGCGAAAGCCUGAUGGAGCAACGCCGCGUGCAGGACGAAGGCCUUCGGGUUGUAAACUGCUUUUAUAAGUGAGGAAUAUGACGGUAACUUAUGAAUAAGGAUCGGCUAACUACGUG